rnacentral:rRNA from 1 species
GACGAACCUUGCUAACGUUAUUCGGAAUUACUGGGCUUAAAGGGUGCGUAGGCGGUGCGGCAAGUCGGGUGUGAAAUCCCCCAGCUCAACUGGGGAAUUGCGCCUGAAACUACCGUGCUCGAGGAAGACAGAGGUACGCGGAACUUAGGGUGGAGCGGUGAAAUGCGUUGAUAUCCUAAGGAACACCGGUGGCGAAAGCGGCGUACUGGGUCUUAUCUGACGCUGAGGCACGAAAGCGUGGGGAGCGAACAGG